rnacentral:tRNA from 1 species
GCCUGAGUGGCUCAGUCGGUUAAGUGUCUGACUUCAGCUCAGGUCAUGAUCUCACGGUUCAUGGGUUCAAGCCCCAUGUCGGGCU